rnacentral:rRNA from 1 species
AUGAUUGAUGGCAAGGCUAGAGCAGUCUUUGCUAGCACGGUGGUCGUCACUAUGGUUGUAGAAGAUAGAGUGCUCUUCUGCACCAAUCGGUGGCUUCAGGGCUUUGCUAUUGGUGAUAUCGCACCAACGCUUGUGGUUGAAGUGGACACGCACAUAAAAAAUUGUAGGACUGUGCAACAAGCGCUGCUGGAUGAUGCAUGGUUGCAUGAUAUCAGGGAGACAUAUCCUUCACAGCUCAAAUACAACUCAUGCGCCCGCAGCAUGUCAUUGCCAAUGUGCCUAGAAACACAAGGGAGGUGGACAGUUUCAGCUGGCAUGUGA